rnacentral:lncRNA from 1 species
ACAGAGGACACUUAAACUCUGGAACAUCCUCUUCAGGUUCCUUGAAAAUGUCUUCCUCAUAGUACCAGAUGGAAUCCGAGUUGAGCAACUCGCCGUUCAUUGUUCCAGGUCGCCGACAGUUUUUUCAGGGGGGAUUUAAUUUAGAUCCUUAUAAAAAAAGACAAGGCAUUCUUUUAAUGGAAACGGAGGUCUUAGGCAGUUGUUAUGGCUCUACAUCACCAUUUAAAUGGAUGGUCGUUUUGAAUCUAUCAGAUCUUGUCAGGGGUGAAGACUUUGGAAAAAACUACAGAGGCAGAAAAAAAAUUGCUGGUUAAGGGUUGUCUACAGAUGUUGGAUGCUCCACUGCCACAUCGUUUAACCCCUUUCUUUCCCUAUUUCUACAGCUCCCAAAAAAGAAGAGGAAAAAAAGUAGCAGUGACUCACAUCCAUGUCUGCCUGAGACUGUUUCCUGUCAAUUACCCAAAGUUCUCAGAUGUAUAAAUAAAACCAAUGCCAGCAAGCCUGCAAUGGAUCGCCGGGGGGGGGGACUCCACCUGCGCAUUUUUGCCUUUGACCUUUUCCAUAAAAAACACUGGACACUUGAGAUAAUCUCUGAGUCUAAACUUACUCCUCCUUCCAUGGGAAUAGUUUAAAUGAGUGGAGGAGGGCCCAGUAUCUUUCAUCACGUCAUCAGAGCACAUUUUAGUUUCUAAGAUGUUCACAUAAAUGUUCCAAGAGGGGACAACAAAUUGUCUGUGUGGUGCAAAUUACAAGUGUUGGCAGCUGAAUAACCGUGGGAAAAUAAUUAGCAAAAUAAAUUGGUUGCCAUGGGCUAAUUACGUGAUGCAAUUGGUCAAAAUUAGGCACAGUUCAGGAACAAAUCAUUAACCGAGUUGUUACUAUUGUUAUCCAUGAAAUAAAGACCCUCACCGUAGCUUUUUGUCUAUGUUUCAUUGAAAACUUUGUCAGCAAAGUGUAAUUUGCUAAAAUAUUAUGCUUUACAAAGAGACUUUAAAAGACGCAAUUUCAGUUGGACAUUCUCAAAAUACUUUGCAUUAGUUUGCAUUAGUGGUAUGGUGCAUUUACUAAAUCUCAAAAUCUUUAAAGCCAACCAUUUGGGUGGCUUUUUGAUGGAUCAUAAAACUACCAACUAAUUUUUAAAUACUUAUUUACAAUCACUGAACUUAUUUUUGUAAAGUGCACUACAAUCAAUAUGUCUGUAUUUCAUAAAAUUUCACCCUACACCACCUCUGCUGCAUUCUGUGCCACUGGGUGCACCACCGUGUGUGUCACCGUGUGCCAUCCUGUGUGCUAGAUCUUAAUAAUAUUAUGGGCAGAGGCACAUACCACAGAUAAAGCCCGAGGGGCCUUUUGCUACACAUAAAGUAAAACUGAAGGACGAAAUAACUAAACAAAUUUCAUUAUUCGACUCCGAUUUGACUUUUCCACUAUAAAUAUUCAAGAACAUGAAUAAAGUGUCAUUAUGCAGUUCUAAAUAUGUACCUUGAAAACAUGUCAUUAUUGGAACUAAGCCCGUAUCUGGUGUAAAACAUAUGCUUGUUUAAAAUUAUCUCAACAAUACUUUUAUUCUCUAAUUAAAAAUGUCAACUGCCUGGCAGUUUCAUCUCAGUUGUAGCCCACGUGUUCAUUCAUACAUGUAUGUGUAGCAGCUUUAGCAUGUUUACGAUGUGGCCAAAAAAUGAGAACCAAUCGGCAAACGCUACAAGUGUGAUAAGGUGACUGGGCCAAGCUCGUUCGCAAUGGUGUGAAUAAUGUAUCACAGGGUUCCAAAAAUUCCAGGCCCACAAUAAAUGGGCCCCCUUCACCUGAGAAAUGUGAACUGUAGUUGAUUCCAAGCUGAAGCGCCACUUGGGAAGGAUUGUAUGUUAAGCAGCUCCAGUGCAGGGAAAUGAAACUUUUCCGUUUGGACUUGCAGAAACUUGAGUGAUGGAGGAACGUCUGCUGACUUACUGCAAAGCAGUUGUUGACGUGCAUUGAGAGGGAAAUAGCUACAAAACCGAAAGAGGGAAGCAGGAGGAAGAAGGCACGAAAAUGUUGCCAGAAAGUGCUACAGAAAUUUAUUUUAAUGGAGCACCGUCCCGUGGCUAGUUGAUGCAAAGGUUGUGCUGCAAUCACGAAAAAACUCUGUGAAUAUAACUGCCCAAGCAUCUCCACAAAAGAUUCACAGAUCUACUGGUAUUUUCUGAGUGUUGGGGCAUAUAGCAUGCAAAGUCACGAAGUUGCUCUCACACAAGGCAUCCACUUUAAGGUUUCAGUGGCACAGGCUUGUGUUCUGGUACCCUGGAUGCCACAGGCUCUUCAGCUGUCCUCUGUACAUCAUCUUCUAUGCCAGAGC